UUUGUUUUUCACCUAUAUUAUCAGUACUUUGAGACAUCUACACGGCAAGUACUGACUCUUGUUCACCAAGAUAAAGUAUUAGCUUUUAUUUUUUCACUUACAGUGUGCAUAAUGAUUAAAGAUUCUAGUUGCCAAGGGUGAAAUGCUUCAAACUCGAAGCUCAAUUGUUUUCUGAAUUUGUAAUUGUACCCUUUCUGAGGGAUGGAGAAGGCAGAGGAGGAAAUUCACAAAAGUGACACAAAGCAGAUAAUAACAGAGCCUCAUGAAUUCAUAAUGAUGUUCAAGCAAACAUAUUUACCUCCUCAGUGAGCCCACGAGCCCAUCAAAGAACAUCUCUUAAAUGGCAAACAUGCUGUCCCAGCCCUGCAUGUCUCCUAAGCAACAUCUUUACAGUGUCUGACCCAGCAGUUCUGGAAUAGUGGACUACAACUCGAAACAAGCAGCCUGAUAGGAAAGGACAUGGAGUUGGGGAGAAUCUCCCAGAAAAGUGAAGGGAGAUACUAUUUUUGAUUGAGUACCCACCAGCAAUUCAGACAGCAGCCAACCUGCUUGAAGACAAGUUGAGUGUAAAAUCAAAUUCAUGUCCCUCAGCAGAUGUUGUACUUGUUCACUUGUCAUAUAUGUGGUAUAGAUUAUAUUAAGACAUUAGGAUUGGCAGGUUUGUAGGUUUUAUUCUCAGAAAACAAGAAAACGUGUGUAGAAAGCUCAACAAAAUACAUACUUGAAAAAUCAUAAUAAACCUGAUUUUAAGUCCCUUUUCAAAAGAGAUUGGCCAUAGUGCUUUUUUUCCUGAGAGAAAUAUUGCAAUGAAGCUAUUUAGGGGUAAAACUAAAUUAUCUUGAAGUCAGAGCAAGUUCACUGCUAUUUUAAAGUAAUUGUAAUCUAGCUCCAUUGUUUAAUAAAGGCUCUUGUAAUACCUACUAAAAUAAACUUCAAUACUGUAAUAUUGAGGUGCCUCAUUUCAUAGAGUAAACAUGAAGUCUAAUUGAAAAUAUUUCUAACUCAACUGAUUAUUCAAGUAAAUAAGGGAAAGGCAACAUUUUAAAAAAACUGAUGGCAAAUCUUUUAGAAAAGUGGACACGUCUUUCCUUAUGCAUCCUGUAACACUGAAUUUUUAUAUGGGCAGUUUGCUUAAAAAGGCUACGGUUGCCUUUAUCAAUUAUAAUUAUCUAUGAAUAUUCAAACUGCAAGAGAUUUAACAAUCACUGUUAUUAUAUAUCUAUUUUCUGAUUUUAGGGAUAAUAAAUGCAUCCUUAUUUGGAAGAUGACCAAACAAACUUUGCAACGCAAAAAUCUGUAAUGGGUGCAAGGUUGUUGGGUGAAUUAUCAGGUUGCUCAACUCUAACUUCCCUUUUUUAAGGUCCAAUCAAAGAUAUCAUCAUGCUACUUAAGCAAAUUAAAAUAACCUAUUGAUUGAAAAAGACUACUGUCAAUAUUGGUGUUGGUUAUCUCCAUCACAAAUACGUGUGCGUAUAUGUGAGUGUACCUGUGUGUUUAUAUCACCCAGUUGUCAUAUUGCAUGUAAAAUUCUCUCUCACUUUUAACAUUUUUUUCAUGAAAUUCCAUGUCAAGUCAUGACAUUCUGUUCUAUCAAUAUCCUAUUUUGAGAGACUUUAACAUUUUUAUUAUGGUAUAUUAAUUAUUGGGAAUUUAAAGAUUCUAGAAAGCAUAAGGUCUUACAAUGAUGCUGAGUUCCAUUUAUUUGGUGUUGAAAUAUGGCCAAAGUCAUUCUGACCUACUGAUGUGUAUCACACCUUGAAAGCAUUUAUAUUCCUCCAAAAUGGAAUCCAGAGAGAAGAUACUCAGAUAUUACCCUUUUCAUAGAGAUUAUUUGCAGCCCCAGGAAUCACCUUUAUCAUAUUAACUUACUAAAAUGCCUCUCCUCUCAGAAGGCCUAGCUCACAAGUCACCUCUUCUUGAAGUCUUCUUUAAUUAACUUUCCACAUUGAAAUCCUUUGUUUGUCCCUUUGUACUAUCAGAGUAUUUUAUUCCUGUGUUAUAGAGCACCUAAACAUGUAGUAAGCAUCUUAUAAAUAAUUUUUGAAUUAAUGGAGAGAUGAAGGGAGUCAGAGUUUAAUCUAGUGGUAAGGGCACCCCGAAAGCACUAGUUUAGGUAUCACCUUAAUCUGUAAAACACAAUUCAGUUUUAUUUUAAUGGUUUUAUAAAUCUAGAUUUAUAAAAUUUAUAAAAUCUAGAGUACUAUAGAGGACUACAUCUAAAGCUGUCUUAUCUUCUGAAUACAAAUCCUGUGAACGUUAAGCUGCUUAGGUACAGUAUAUAAUAAGAGGUGGCUGGCACUGUGGCUGACACUUGUAAUCCAGGCAUUUUGGGAGGCUGAGGCGGGUGGAUUGCUCGAGCCUAGGAGUCCGAGACCAGCCUGGGC
rnacentral:lncRNA from 1 species